CUCAUUUUUUUGGACUGAUGGCUUUUGAAGUGACAGAUAGCCUGGGACAACAUUUGUCUCAGCUCACACUCCGUGCCAACCCAUGAACAACUUUUACAGGCUGAACUUAAGCAUUUGAAAUUUUCUCUUCUGGAGAGCAGGAGAUAAAGUGAUUUGAAAGAAGGCUGAAAAAAUUUAGGUGGACAAUAAGUACUUGAUUUGUAGAAGUAUAAGUUACCACCAUGUAUUUCGUUGCUCUCAAGAAGGGAGUAAAAUCUGGAUUAAUUUCAUCAGAAAAUUCACACCAAUUUUACUUAGGUCCAUGCUAUUUCAAUAACUAAAGUUCUGGCUACAAAUUUUCAUAAACAAGGAUAAAAAUUCUUUGUUAUGCGUUUUAAUGUAUGAAAUUGAAAUAGAACUAGAAAAAAUGGGAAUUAGGGAAGAGUCACUGAGGAACCAACAGCAGCAAAACUUGAGAUUACCACUUGAACUACUGCCUUCUCCAUUACACAUUCAGUUCUUCAGCAGAUGUAAAGCAGUUGCUGAUACUCAUAUUUAGAGUGCAUUUACCACUGUGCUGCCCACGCAGGUUCUGGAGAGUGUGAGCAAUAGGCAGCCCCAGUAAGCAUAGCAGCAGCAGCAGCAUGAGCAGGAAAUAGCACCUGGAUGGCAUGCACACCUCUGGAGGAGGUCUUGCUCAAGUGAGACUUCAUUCUGCAUUUGCCCACUCAUUUCUCUCCAGCCCUGUUCUCUCGGUUGUGUCAGUGAGACUGUUUGUCAAGACACACAAUGAAGAGACUGAAGACUUGAUUUGUGUUGAAAACAACCUCCAUACAGAUGAAGUUAUUGGUAACCCAGGCUGGUUCACCUUUUGGCCUCAAAUCAGAAAAUGAUGGAGUAACAAGUGGAGAUUCUUAAGGGGUGAGAAAUAGCAAGAAAAGAAGGUGCAGCUGAAAGCAAUGUGAGUCAAAUGGCUGCCUGAGAUGUUGGUGUGUCACUUCUUGUGUACGUGCUUUGCAGCUGGUUGGCUAUGGACCAUGAUGUUCAUCCCCAUCCUCAAGUGCUGGUUGAAGUUACAUCUAAGCCACAAGUGUUCAGGUACUUGAAUGCACAACUGUGUUAAUUAAAGACUAUUAAAAUAUCAUCAGAAGUGGAAGAAUAGAACUGAAGCUUCUUUCACUCGUCUCAAAGUUACAAAAGUAUUUGGAGAAAUCAGGACAAAGUGUGUGUUUCCUUCUCUGCAAAUUCCCACAUCACCCUCCCCUUAAUUCCCACUGGAUAAGCACUUCUACUGCUGGACACUGAGCAGCUCUCAGCUGCUAAAACCAAUUAAAUCAGGCCAGAUGUGUGAGACCUACACCUGGCUUAGAAUGACCCCCUCAGCCCCAGCAUCUUCCCUGAAGACGGGAAAAGUGUGAGGUCGAGUGGAACAAAAUCCAGUUUCCCUGACCCCUCUCCCAGCCCAUCUGCAAACCUGGGGGAUGGCUCAGGCUUCUUCCCAGCUAAAUUCUGGUUAACUGGAAAUGUACCAGGCUUGUACUAAAGUACCAAGAAACAUGCUCAGUACAGGCAAACCAGAAGCCAAAGGAUACCAUGCUUGAUAUUUUCUUUAAACAACAGUUUCCAGUAGAAAGCAUGUAUGCUACAACUGUAUGUGCUACAGUCUGGUGAUUAACAGCUUGUUGUUUAUGUCUGGGGUGGAUAAUAAAUGCACUGUGUCCUGUCUUCUCUUCUUCCUCUCCCCAUCCCAAAUAAGUAGGUUCUGUGAGUGCUUUUCAGGGCUGCCAUUGGCUGUGAACAUGAGCUAUCCUCAGCAGAAGGUACAUUGAAAGGGGAUAAGCAACCACCACAAGUGAGUACCUUGGUCCCCUCUCUGGCCCCUUGCCUCCAUCUGUCUUUGCAGUCUCUGACACUCCAUGGGGAAAGAAGCUGCAGCGUAGCUUCCUCCCUCUUUCCCCCAUCCUCACUGCUCCUGGGAGAGCAAGGAGGGAAGCUGGAGCCAGGGUGGUCCCAUCCAGCCUCACAGCAGCUGCAGCAGCUGCAGCCCUUCAGCCCACAGGGGCAAAGCUGCUGGAUGCUGCAGUGUGAAACCAGGGGAAUGGAGAAAUUGGUGCCUUGCAACAUUUUGUAUCAAUAUACAAGCUUACAAGCUGUGUCUUAGUUGCUUCCCUGCAAAUAUAAUCUCAAAAGCUACCUCUCCAUCCUCACUUUUGAAAUAAAAUAUACUUUUCUGUCUGAUAUCAUGAUAAGAAACUUCAGCCACAAAGCAAAAUGCUCCUUAGAGCUUCAGACUUGGAAGUGAUUUUUCUUAACACAUGCAACAGGCAGCAUUCAUUAAAAACCUUAGCACUGGAGCAGGGUCAAGCUGAAAAAUUUAAUAUUCUGCUGCUUUACAAGACCUACCCUGGCACCAAUUCAUCCUGGCUUCUGCAGCUGCCCAAUAUGAUUUGAAGAGAUGAAGAGGGAAAAUCUAAUGAAGAAGGAAUGGAGUUUGGGCUAGUGGAUGCACUGGAUACAGAGGAGCUUCACAGAUACUGCUUCUUGUUCCCAGAGGAGAAGGAGCUCAGAUGGCUUUAGGCAGUUUGCAAUUGCAAGGGAUCAUAUUUUAUUUUUCACUUGUGGCCAAGUCAGCUGCUGUAUUAAAAAAUGACCAUGGUCAAAAUCAGUGCUGGAUACAGCUACGAUAUGGGAGUAAAAACCAUGCUGUAGUACAUCUGCUCCCCUGGCACACAGCCCAGCACGUUAACCAGAAGUGUUGGGGAAGAGGAGGAGAGAGAAGAAGGAGCUAUGGCCUCCAGAGGCUUCCAGGUUCUGGCAACAAGUGUCUCUAGGGCAAAAUCUUCCUGUUUUGGUGUGUUUGUGCAUCCCUGUGCAGGACACCCUUAGACAUAUGAUUAGGCACUUUCCUGAAUGGGAGCAGUCUCAAGUGCAGGUUCACAAGCUUUUGUCCUGAUCUCUGACUGGGACCCAUGAAAGGGCAGGGUAUAGGGUUCUUGUGGGAGUGUGUGGGGGAUGCAAUGACCGUGCUUGCCAGCCUGGGCAGGCGUACAGGGAGCCAGCCAAGGGAGACUGGGAGGUCAGUCUGGGAGCUUCCCUGAGAAUGCCCUGGGGUUGGCAGCCAGAGCAGUAGGGCCCUAUUAUUAUUCUUCUGUUAUUCUUCUGAGUAACAGCCUGUAUUUGCUGCAGGAAAGCAGAUCCCUCUGUGCUGCCUCAUCCUGCUCACCCUACCCAGCAGCUGGAGACUGCAGCAAAGGGAGUCCCAAAGGCAAUGAUUUGGGGUCAGAAACCUCCUGACUCCCACCUGCCUCCUGCUAGAGCUCUGCAAGCUCUCACACAUGCUGCCAGACCCCGGAGAAUGAUAAUUGUGGGAUGGAGUCUUGCAAUCCUAAUUUCAUUUUAGUAGCAGAGGAGAAGUGGCAUGUAGCCAUCAGAAUGGGAGCUGCAUUGAGUCCUGAACAGAGGGAAGGCUGUUGCCUAUUAACCUGCCUAGCUACCAAAAGGGGAGUAGGGUGUCAGAACCCAGGACAUUCCUCUGGCUGCCCUGGAGGACUUGAGACCCUGGAGGGGGCUCAGAGACCUUGGCAUGGAGUCAAACACACCUAUGCCUUUGAUUUUAACCCAUGGAAACAAUUAACAACUUGUGUGAAGAGUUACAAGCCACAAGGGUCUGAAUGGAAUGGUAGUGAAUUUAUCACAGGGUGAAAAUGUAGAAUUUUGGGGAUUUAGAAUGGGGGUUCAAGAGGAAAGAUGGAGGAAUCUGGGCGUGUCCUGUCCUUCUUCUUCUUCUUCUUCUUAUCCUCCAU